CAGAUUAAAGCUUAAGCAAGUUUCUUUUUUACAUGAAGAAGGUUACUGUUCAACUCAGUAUAAUUUGA
rnacentral:tRNA from 1 species